rnacentral:tRNA from 1 species
GGUUUCGUGGUGUAGUGGUUAUCACGUCUGCUUCACACGCAGAAAGCCGCGAGUUCGAGCCUCGCCGAAACCU